ensembl:ribozyme RNaseP_nuc Nuclear RNase P
GGCAGAGGGAAACUCAUCAGAGAGUUAUGGUGCAUCAUGCCACUCCAGUCCCAUGUCCCUUAGGAGGAUCAGAGACUAGGGUCAGAAGAAGCCUUAACAAUGUUCUCCCUGAGUUGCAGGGAGGUGAAUUCCCAGAGAAUGGAGCUGCUUGAGGUAAGACAUUGCAGGAUAUGCUGUAGAUCCCAUCCCUGGGGAGAAAUUCAGGGGAAGUCUCCUAAGUGUGAGCUUGAAACAGAUUCAGUGAAAUGAGCUCAACAGCUGAGGUUAGAUAUCCCACAUGGGGUCCUCAUAAACCAAUUCAGUCUGCUGUC